rnacentral:rRNA from 1 species
GACGAGCUCUCCAAACGUUAUUCGGUAUUACUGGGCUUAAAGAGUUCGUAGGCGGCAUUGUAGGUGAGGUGUGAAAGCCCUCGGCUUAACCGAGGAACUGCGCUUCAAACCACAAAGCUAGAGGGAGACAGGGGUAAGCGGAACAGAUGGUGGAGCGGUGAAAUGCGUUGAUAUCAUCUGGAACACCGGUGGCGAAAGCGGCUUACUGGGUCUUUUCUGACGCUGAGGAACGAAAGCUAGGGGAGCGAACGGG